UACGUAGGGUGCGAGCGUUGUCCGGAAUUACUGGGCGUAAAGAGCUCGUAGGUGGUUUGUCGCGUUGUUCGUGAAAACUCACAACUCAAUUGUGGGCGUGCGGGCGAUACGGGCAGACUGGAGUACUGCAGGGGAGACUGGAAUUCCUGGUGUAGCGGUGGAAUGCGCAGAUAUCAGGAGGAACACCGGUGGCGAAGGCGGGUCUCUGGGCAGUAACUGACGCUGAGUAGCGAAAGCGUGGGGAGCAACAGG
rnacentral:rRNA from 1 species